GUGGGUUUUGAGUCAGCUGGGGCCUGUCAACCCUGUAUGGAAGAAUUUUCGUUGGCUGAGCAACAAAUGACUGCCCAUACUGUGUCUAAAAAUUUCUUCUAGUCCUGGUUGUUCGACUGGACCUGGGUUGCAGGCGAUCCACCUUCUCAGGACAGAACUUCAGCAGCAGCAGAAACACCAGCGUGAGCAAGAAACUCAUCAAAAACAACACUGACAUUAUCUACUCACCACACAAUGUGUCUCCAGGUUUGCAUUCAGAAUACGCAGAACUGGAAGUGGUAGCCAUCCUGCGCAGAGACAGAAUGUGGAUUUAAAAGGUUGGAGAUUUUUAAUAUUAACUACUUACUUGUUUACCAAAGUAUAGCGCUGUGUUUCAGGCUGAUUUCCAAAUAUGGAGAACAUUGAAACAAUGUAGAUUUGAAAUGUUCUAAGUCUUCUAUAGUGGCAGUAUGAAACAUCAUGCUGAAUUCUGGGUCAGCGUAACAUGAUCAGUGUUUCUAAUCAGCAUAAAAGGCUUAGGGUAGUUGAGACGCAUCUUUGUAAACAUCUUCAGUGUUCAUCAGUAUUUUUUCUUUUUUUCAGGAAAUAACCCCAGAAAGAAAAAAGGGGAUUUCACAUGUAAAUAUUUACUGUGUUCAUAAGUAAAUUAUGUGUGUGUACAUGAUGAGAGUAUCUUGUAAGUAUAAUCUCAAAGACGCUAUACUACACACUUGUGCUCCAUGUGCAAUAUGAGAUGACCUCAUUUGUGAACAAACAGUGAACACCCAGUCUCAUGGUUUCUAAAUGUCAGUACUAAUAUUUGCUAUACUUUGUGUGUGUUCAUGGCUGCAAUUGUCAGUUGUGUUGUGCUACUAGAUGAAUGUGCUCUUUGCCUAUAAGUGUGGCUAAAUGUGUUUUCAGACUGUGAAGUAAAAGGCUAAAGUAUUAGCUCCAUUUCUGACACAUACAGGAAUAUAUACGCCUUUUUAUUUGGAUUAUGAUCCUCAACCUGUUUGUCUACAUUUUUCGUUCUCAAAGACGACACAACAACACGUCAUAUACACAGAGGUACUUGGGGAAACCCACAUAAGAAAGUGAGAUGUAUUAUACAUAAAUAUCUUGACUUAGUAAAUUGUCCAGUACUUUUAUUCAGCAAAUAUUCAGUUGAUCAAAAGUGACAGUAAAGACAUUUAUAAUGUUAAAAAAAGAUUUAUAUUCCAAAUAAAUGCCAUUCCUUUCUAACUUUCUAUUCAUCAAAGAAUCUGGAAAAAAGUG